rnacentral:rRNA from 1 species
UACGGAGGGGGCUAGCGUUGUUCGGAAUUACUGGGCGUAAAGCGCGCGUAGGCGGCUUUGUAAGUUAGAGGUGAAAGCCCGAAGCUCAACUUCGGAAUUGCCUUUAAGACUGCAUCGCUAGAAUUGUGGAGAGGUAAGUGGAAUUCCGAGUGUAGAGGUGAAAUUCGUAGAUAUUCGGAAGAACACCAGUGGCGAAGGCGGGUCUCUGGGCAAUUCCUGACGCUGAGGCGCGAAAGCGUGGGAGCAAACGGG